CGCCUACGGGGGGCAGCAGUGGGGAAUAUUGGGCAAUGGGCGCAAGCCUGACCCAGCAACGCCGCGUGAAGGAAGAAGGCUUUCGGGUUGUAAACUUCUUUUAAGAGGGAAGAGUAGAAGACGGUACCUCUUGAAUAAGCCACGGCUAACUACGUGCCAGCAGCCGCGGUAAUACGUAGGGGGCAAGCGUUAUCCGGAUUUACUGGGUGUAAAGGGAGCGUAGACGGAAAGGCAAGUCAGAAGUGAAAACCCAAGGCUCAACCAUGGGACUGCUUUUGAAACUGUCAAACUAGAGUACGGGCGAG
rnacentral:rRNA from 1 species